rnacentral:rRNA from 1 species
GACGAACGCUGGCGGCGUGCUUAACACAUGCAAGUCGAACGCUGAAGCUUGGUGCUUGCACUGGGUGGAUGAGUGGCGAACGGGUGAGUAAUACGUGAGUAACCUGCCCUUGACUCUGGGAUAAGCCUGGGAAACUGGGUCUAAUACUGGAUACGACAUGUCACCGCAUGGUGGUGUGUGGAAAGGGUUUUACUGGUUUUGGAUGGGCUCACGGCCUAUCAGCUUGUUGGUGGGGUAAUGGCUCACCAAGGCGACGACGGGUAGCCGGCCUGAGAGGGUGACCGGCCACACUGGGACUGAGACACGGCCCAGACUCCUACGGGAGGCAGCAGUGGGGAAUAUUGCACAAUGGGCGAAAGCCUGAUGCAGCGCCGCCGCGUGAGGGAUGACGGCCUUCGGGUUGUAAACCUCUUUCAGCACGGAAGAAGCGAAAGUGACGGUACGUGCAGAAGAAGCGCCGGCUAACUACG